rnacentral:tmRNA from 1 species
GGGGACGUUACGGAUUCGACAGGGAUAGUUCGAGCUUAGGUUGCGAGUCGAGGGGAUCGGCCUCGUAAAUAACGUCGCCUAAUUUAUAACUGGCAAAGAAAACAACUACUCUCUAGCUGCAGCGUAAGCUGACCUAGAGGAUCCUGGCUUCCAUCGCCCGUGUGGAAGAUUGCAGGGUCUCAAAUUGAGCGGGCUACGCUAACAUUCCUCCGUCUGUGGAUGUUAGAAGAGAUUAAUCAGACUAGCUCCUCGGACGCCUGUUGGCAGGCAUAAGAGAGAGCGAAUUGCGAAUAUGUCAACUACACUCGUAGAAGCCUAAGUGGCGUUAUUUCUGGACGUGGGUUCGACUCCCACCGUCUCCACCA